rnacentral:lncRNA from 1 species
AUCGAUCUCUUUGUUUGCAGUAGAGGAGGAACACAGGACAACCCAUGCACUGGCCACUCACCAAUGGUGAUGGUUCUUGUGUGACUGUCUACGUGGGCUAACCAGCUGACCAAAAAACAACCUUCCUGCAGAUGAGAAAGUCUAAAGCCUUGCCCAGUACACCUGCCGGUUCAGAGUUCUUCUGGAGCCAGCUAAGAACAUCCUCUGGAAUGGCUGGGAAAGGCAUUCUGGAGGAAGAGAAAGGAAAACAAAAACUGAGGACUCAAAGUGGAAGAAAACAAAACAGGUCCUGGUGCUCAUGGAUAUUUUCAUUGUGAAAAAAAUGGCAACAUCUUUCCCAAAACAAAAUAAGCAUUGCUAUUAUUUAUUGCAAUACCAAUCUCUUUCUGAUAAGUGCUGGUCUGGAAAGGAGGAGUUGUAACUCCCUGGAGUUACAUGGGGAGAAGAAGUCAUACAGUCCACCAUUUCUCCGCAUAUAAUCUUUUCUUUGGGACAAGAAAAGAAAACAUCAAACUACUGGCAUCCUAGGGUAUUUUCUGGGUAGAGCAAACCUCUUAGUAGGCAGCCACACAUAUUAAACCAGAGCUACUAUAAAUGUCUUGUCCAUUUAUUCUGGUUACUCUAACAUGGAGUAUUCACUAUUUUAUGCCACCUGCUCUGACAGAAGAGAAACUGCAGUAGAAGAAAGAAAUUCUUCCUUUUGUGUCUAAGGUUAAGGCAAGCUUCAGGGAAGAAUGAAAAUGGCAUAGAGAAAUGAGUCGUUCCUCUCAGCAAGGUUUGAAUUGUUUAUCUGCAAUAUUUUGGAUGAUUCAGCAUGUUUUCUGGCCUUUUUCAUUACAAGGGGUGUUUCCAUGGAAAUGAAAGCUUGAGGAGCUGAGCUUAUGAAUGUCUCUUACUUCUUUCUCUUGCAUACCUGAAGCUGUAGGCCUGGUUUUCCUCUAACUGGUCCUGGGAUAAAUCAGGUGUAGGUUCACUGGAGGUCCAGGUUUGGAGAGAUGCUGGUGUGAAACUGGUCUGAGAUGAGACACAUCACUUUUUAGGUGUUACAGGUUUCUAGAUCUCCACAGAAAGCCACUGUGGAGACUGAGGAUUGGGAAUAAGUAGCAGAUGUUGAAAAAUCCUUAAGAAAAACAGCUACUUUUUAGAUGAAAGGGGUUAACAGCCAGGGCAAUAAAURGAAGAGAAACAAAUAUUAGUGCA